GGUCUUUUAGUUUGUACAAAUAUUAAAUUGCAAGUUUAAAGAGGUGGAGUCACAAAGACCU
rnacentral:tRNA from 1 species